rnacentral:rRNA from 1 species
CACGUAGGGACCGAGCGUUGUCCGGAUUCAUUGGGCGUAAAGAGCGUGUAGGCGGCCCGAUAAGUCCGCUGUGAAAGUCCAGGGCUCAACCCUGGGAUGCCGGUGGAUACUGUCGGGCUCGAGUCCGGAAGAGGAGAGUGGAAUCCUGGUGUAGCGGUGAAAUGCGCAGAUAUCAGGAAGAACACCCGUGGCUAAGGCGGCUCUCUAGUACGGUACUGACGCUGAGACGCGAAAGCGUGGGGAGCGAACAGG